GACGUAGGGCGCGAGCGUUGUCCGGAUUUAUUGGGCGUAAAGAGCUCGUAGGCGGCUUGUCGCGUCGACUGUGAAAUCCCGCGGCUCAACUGCGGGUCUGCAGUCGAUACGGGCAGGCUAGAGUUCGGUAGGGGAGACUGGAAUUCCUGGUGUAGCGGUGAAAUGCGCAGAUAUCAGGAGGAACACCGAUGGCGAAGGCAGGUCUCUGGGCCGAUACUGACGCUGAGGAGCGAAAGCGUGGGGAGUGAACAGG
rnacentral:rRNA from 1 species